CAGCCUAACGGAGAGGGCGACUCUCCGUCCGUUAGUUCAGGCGGUCCAUCCUCUCAUCUUCCAAUCCGUCCCCCUUCUUGUGAAUGCCUCCCUCUCUGCUGAAAACCUCCUCGCCCGCUUCAGUCGGUUUCGCAUGGCCCCGCCUUUUCGGUGCGACUCCUCUCCUCUCAAUGCCUCCUCCCGAACCCUAGCGCUCUCGCCCUCCUUCGAAACCCUAGAAUAAUUAGGGUUUUUGCUCCUCUUCUGCUUCUCCUCCGCCAUCCAAUCAUGGAGGAAGGAGACGGGAAUCCCGCAAUAAGAAGGUCGUCUUGCGCGUCGGAUACGUGGGAACUAAUUACAGAGGUCUUCAGAUGCAGCGAGAUAACCUGCUUUAUCGACUUUGCGUAGAUGGGCCUUUGCUAAAGCAUUCCAAUCUUGACGUAUAGCAAUUGAAGCAGGGUUGGAAUCUGCCAUCUUUUGGGCUGGUGGGAUCCGUUAUAGUAAUUAGGGAAUGCAGAUCUGCAUAAAAUUGAGUGGGCUAGGAGUAGCCGAGCCGACAGGAGGACCAUGAUUUCAUUGAAGAUGGAGAUCCCUGAACAUGCAUGGAGAGAGAGGAUCCUAUUGGCAUGGUUAUUGCGAAUUAUGUUAAUUCUAGCCUACCCAAUAAUGUCAGUUUUCAGCAUAUUACCAUCUCAAAAGAGUUUUGGUGCAAGAAGAGAAUGCACUGUUCAGAUGUACUCUUAUCUCCUGCCUGCUGAAUUUAUUGGGAUCGGUAGCGACUCCAGCUUUGCUGAAUUCAUGAUCAUUUAUAUCAAUUCAAUAAUAUACUGAAAAGUUUUAAGGGAGAACAUUGUUUCCAUAAGUAAACAGUUCAUUUCAAAUAUAGGAAACAACCUCCAAAGCAAGGCCACAUUAUCAGAAAAACAAGAAUUGCGGAGGAUGUGUUGGCCGCUGAAGUUGCGGAAAAUGAUGAUCUAGAAAGUUCUGAGGUUGUGGAUGCUGCACUCGAUAAAUGUGAAGAACAUCCAAACAUUCAAUGUGACAGUGACUGAUGAAAUGAUCUGCCAGGAAAACAAAAUGAUGAAAUUAGAGACUCAGAGUUCCGUCUUGCUGUUUGUGCAAGAUGGCUUCAUGAGCCAGAUGAAAUGGGUGGACUAAAGUGUCUCACGUCAGAAAGGGCUUUUGCUGCUCAUGUGGACAGCUGCAGACGUCUUCAGGAAAUAAUUUCGUUGAGCUGUCCAUAUGAGGUUGUUGUGGCAAAUUAUCAGUACUAACUAACAUCGGGAUUUACCAGGAUGUUUGACUUGAAAAUCUUUGCCUAUUUUAGAUAUCUGACAAGUGACUUUUAAGCAACCAUAUCAACUAAGCUAUCAGCGAUGAUGGAGUACUAAGCUUUGAAGUAAAUAAGACAAUAUACUGUCAUCUGCAACUGCACCAGUAUAUACUAUAGGCUCUGAAAAGUGGGGACUUUAGCAGCAGUGAAGCGGGGUUGGCUACCAAAAGAUGUCAUAGAGUUAUCUCUGGUGAUGUUUUCUGACAUUCUACCCCUUGCCCCUUCUGAUCCCUGGGGGUGACCGCUACUCUUUUAUAACACGACCUGAAAUGCAAAUAGUGAUCGAGUCCGAAGAAAUCCAGAAAGCAUUUGAUGAGUUCUACUCUUCUAUGAUGUUGCCUCAGUCACCCAACUUCUUGGAUCCAUCCAAAUCCCCAUGGAAGAAAUGGGUGGAUAGUCUAGAUGCAAACAGAAGCAUUUCAGAUAACAGAGCUGGUUGAAGUCAGAGCCGCAUGGAAAGCAUGGAAGAAAAUUUCUCGAAAGCAAAGAAAAUCCUUUUGAGUCACAACUUUGCCUAUACUGAAUCUCCAGUGAGCGUGCAAUGAGGUAUGAUAUCACUCCCACUUUUUCUGAUAUUCUUGCCUCCCUCCUGCACCUUUGACCCUACUGUUGUGUGAACACUGGAAGUAGCUUUGUUGUAUUGUAGGAGAUGCAUGCAUUGUUCCAUGCAUGUGUUGAUAUCCGUUCGUAUUUCUAUGAAGUGUUAGCAUACUUGAUCUUCCAUUCAAUAGGCUGUCAACUGUUAUUUGUUCGUGAUGCUUAGUGAAGUUGAAUAUGUUUUCACAGUAAAUGAAAGUUUUCUCCAAAUAUGAAAUGAUUUUUUCUUCUCUCUUUGAUUCUCCCAGCUGGGUUGAUAUCCCUCGUUACAAACACUAACAUGGUCAAAUCAUGUUGAAACUUCAUCCACCUUUGAUGCUACCUAAUAGCUCUUCCAACCUCACUAUUGAUUUUGAUAUUUAAACCUGUGGCAUUCGCCUGUUAUGCUUGUGACAUCACCAUUGUCUCAUUCAUUCAGAAAGGGGUCUUAAAAUGACUUUUGCUUUGUUCUUCCUCUUCUGUCUAGUCCUUGAUGGCCCCCAAACAUGAGUUCCUAGAGAUGCUGCUCCGCUUUAUCUACCCAAUUUGUUCAAGGUAUUUCAGACGCUUUUGACAAUGUGGAGUCUUAGGGCAUUGUGUCUGUCUGUGCCCCCUUUUCUGUGCCAUAUCUCUUCCAGUGCCAUGAUUUUGUGAUUGACGGAUAACACAAUUUAACUAGACAAUGAUGUCAUCCAGAUACAAGAUGAUACUAGCAUAGUUACAUUAAUAUUGUUGGGGUAAAUUUUCUAUUUUACUGGGUUAAGCUUAAACCUUGCACCUGAGACUUGAAAAUGCCCCCAUAUGGUUUAGCAGGGUGUAGCCUUUGUUAUGGUCAGAACCAUUGGGCUGGGUUACACUUACACCUAACCAGUUUUCAUGUGUUGCAAACCACGUGUUGGUAGGACUAGAGCCUUUUGGCAAAUCCAGCGGCCAUGGCUGAAUUAGAAAGACCCACUCCACUUCCGUUCCACCACCUGCCAUUUAGCUGGCCCGUUACUCAUUCUUCGUGAAUAAAAGGUUUAAAAAAUACAAUCCCCUUUGUCUCAAAGUUGAAAUGAGCGUCUAACUGAAGCCUGCUUGCCAGUGGUUUGUAACGUUCAUCCCAGGUUUAAUGUUUAAACCCAGGGGCACCUACACCUUUAUAACUUGUUUCUUGGCCUCUUACUCUCAGCACUCACCUCACGCUCCUCUGUGCCUCUCUCUCUCUCUCUCUCUCUCUCCCCCUCCAUUUCCUGUGUCUUCUCAGGAUGGGCUCUUUGCAGGCAUGGGUCUCUGAGCACAAGCUCGCCAGUGUCGGUAAGCAAAGCAUCUGAUCAUCUGGCUUCUUCGUAAGGAGCAAGAAAAAAUUGGUGAAGUUUUAGGUCUAUGAUGAGCCACUGGCUAAUAUGGAAUCCUGUGUCUUUCAGGAACUCUAUGGGCUUCAGCCUUGGUGGCAUCCAUAGCUUACUCGCGUAAAAGAACGCCACACAAGACCAGCGUCAGGCUGAUCCAUGCUAGGAUGCAUGCGCAAGCCCUGACCCUUGCAGUGCUCUCAGGUGCAGCGCUGAAACAUUACUUGGAGACCAAUUUUGCCAUGGAUGAUGACAAGAAUUAAUCCCUCAGCUGCUCGAUGAUUCCAAGGAACGGCGUCCAUGAAGCGUCUCGCAAUGAUAUCAUGUUGGCUUGUAGCUUUAGCUUGUGGGGAUGGCACAUCAUGCCUAAUUAAAUGUGCAGCGGGCUUAUGGUGGUGAGAAUAUGGACUGCAUCUUGAUGAAAUAAUGAUAUUUGUGAUGAUGCAUGUCUUUUGAAAACUAAAAGUUAUGAUUAUAUGCAAUUUAUUGUUUUGUUAUACGGAACAAAGAAGAAAUUACCUUGUCCUUGUACAGUAGAAUUUCAAAGCCCAUAAUUUUUCUUGACGCUUCGUAUGCAUUUCUCCUGUAAAUAUAA